GUGUCAGCAGCCGCGGUAAUACGAAGGGGGCUAGCGUUGCUCGGAAUCACUGGGCGUAAAGGGUGCGUAGGCGGGUCUUUAAGUCAGGGGUGAAAUCCUGGAGCUCAACUCCAGAACUGCCUUUGAUACUGAAGAUCUUGAGUUCGGGAGAGGUGAGUGGAACUGCGAGUGUAGAGGUGAAAUUCGUAGAUAUUCGCAAGAACACCAGUGGCGAAGGCGGCUCACUGGCCCGAUACUGACGCUGAGGCACGAAAGCGUGGGGAGCAAACAGGAGGAUAUACCACUGGAUUAC
rnacentral:rRNA from 1 species